GUAAAGCGCAUGCAGGUGGUUUGUUAAGUCAGAUGUGAAAGCCCGGGGCUCAACCUCGGAAUUGCAUUUGAAACUGGCAGACUAGAGUACUGUAGAGGGGGGUAGAAUUUCAGGUGUAGCGGUGAAAUGCGUAGAGAUCUGAAGGAAUACCGGUGGCGAAGGGCGGCCCCCUGGACAGAUACUGACACUCAGAUGCGAAAGCGUGGGGAGCAAACAGGAUUAGAUACCCUGGUAGUCCACGCCGGUAAACGAUGUCUACUUGGAGGUUGUGGCCUUGAGCCGUGGCUUUCGGAGCUAACGCGUUAAGUAGACCGCCUGGGGAGUACGGUCGCAAGAUUAAAACUCAAAUGAAUUGACGGGGGCCCGCACAAGCGGUGGAGCAUGUGGUUUAAUUCGAUGCAACGCGAAGAACCUUACCUACUCUUGACAUCCAGAGAACUUUCCAGAGAUGGAUUGGUGCCUUCGGGAACUCUGAGACAGGUGCUGCAUGGCUGUUCGUCAGCUCGUGUUGUGAAAUGUUGGGUUAAGUCCCGCAACGAGCGCAACCCUUAUCCUUGUUUGCCAGCGAGUAAUGUCGGGAAACUCCAGGGAGACUGCCGGUGAUAAACCGGAGGAAGGUGGGGACGACGUCAAGUCAUCAUGGCCCUUACGAGUAGGGCUACACACGUGCUACAAUGGCGCAUACAGAGGGCGGCCAACUUGCGAAAGUGAGCGAAUCCCAAAAAGUGCGUCGUAGUCCGGAUUGGAGUCUGCAACUCGACUCCAUGAAGUCGGAAUCGCUAGUAAUCGUGGAUCAGAAUGCCACGGUGAAUACGUUCCCGGGCCUUGUACACACCGCCCGUCACACCAUGGGAGUGGGCUGCAAAAGAAGUAGGUAGUUUAACCUUCGGGGGGACGCUACCACUCGGUACGG
rnacentral:rRNA from 1 species